AACAAAACUAAGUUGUAUCUGGAGUCAGCUCGUCUGCCGGACUGUGAAAGAAACACACAAUGGGGACGCUUCUUCCACUGCGCACAGGAUGUUGCGUUGUCAGAACAAGACAUGUUGGAAUGCUAGUCGCCAUCCUAGUAUUCGGGUUCUUACUCAGGUGCCUCUUCGCACCACACAGUAAGUUGGAUGAAUCCCUCAUGGUCAGGACAAGACGGAACGCUUCAGAUCCAGUGACACCCUGUUCAGUUCCCGGAGUUGUGAGAAAUUUCCGGAUUACAGGCUCAGGAACCUCAUGGCGAUUUAGAUGGAGCGCACUUCAUUCCAGUUCAGUUUGCCCAAUCAUCGGUUACUCGCUGCAAUUCCGACUAAUUAACAGGGACCAGUGUAGGACUGUUGGCGAGAGCUUCGAAACCUUGCGCCAAACGACGAACACCAAUUAUCGACUGAGUCAAGCAGAAUCGUCCCUUUACUUUUUCUCCACUUACGAAGUUCAAGUGCGGGGGAGGAACUCGGCGGGGCUUGGAGUACCAAGCACCCAAAUUCAGGUCACAACA